rnacentral:lncRNA from 1 species
UUUGGAAUGGACGAAACAAGGGCAUUAACUUGGAAUCAAUAGAUUGCCACAAAAUACUGCAUAAUUGAACAUCAAUCUUCUCCCAAUGUGCUUUGGCUUUUUCAUCUCCGUCACUAGACUCCAUGGUUAGAUGAUCCUGAACACCUUGGCCUUUACACCACAACUCGAGAGACGAAGCCCAAGCUAGGUAGUUUGAACCUCCCAUUAAAGGUUCUGAGGUAAUCAUAAUACCGGAACUGCCAGAACCCUGGUUUCUGGACCCGAAGAAGCCCAAGCUAGGUAGUUUGAACCUCUCAUUAAAGGUUCUAAGGUAAUCAUAAUACCGGAACUGCCAGAACCCUGGUUUCUAGACCCGAAAGCAUCUAGUCCCAAAGACAUCUUUGGAGUAUCAACUGAAAACUCGCUAAAACUGAAACAGAGAACUGAAAACUAGCGCUGC